rnacentral:rRNA from 1 species
GAUGAACGCUGGCGGCGUGCCUAAUACAUGCAAGUCGAGCGAACGGACGAGAAGCUUGCUUCUCUGAUGUUAGCGGCGGACGGGUGAGUAACACGUGGAUAACCUACCUAUAAGACUGGGAUAACUUCGGGAAACCGGAGCUAAUACCGGAUAAUAUUUUGAACCGCAUGGUUCAAAAGUGAAAGACGGUCUUGCUGUCACUUAUAGAUGGAUCCGCGCUGCAUUAGCUAGUUGGUAAGGUAACGGCUUACCAAGGCAACGAUGCAUAGCCGACCUGAGAGGGUGAUCGGCCACACUGGAACUGAGACACGGUACAGACUCCUACGGGAGGCAGCAGUAGGGAAUCUUCCGCAAUGGGCGAAAGCCUGACGGAGCAACGCCGCGUGAGUGAUGAAGGUCUUCGGAUCGUAAAACUCUGUUAUUAGGGAAGAACAUAUGUGUAAGUAACUGUGCACAUCUUGACGGUACCUAAUCAGAAGGCCACGGCUAACUACGUG